GCCAGGCUCUCAGCUCCCUGCCGCCUUAGUCACCACCAUCUGCCCUCUGACAGCUUCCCAGGUGAUGCUGGAGCUGCUGGCUUUGAGAAGCCACUAUGACAUCAUCAAAGUGACCUGCACACAAAGAGCUCCCUCCGACGUCACUGUCCUCAGCUCUGCUGCGUGUCACGGUGCCCCAGGGCAUGCACCCAGAAGCUCUGGCCACGGCUGGACUCAGGCAUCCACCGGAACUCUGUCUGUCCAAAUUCAGUGAUGUCCGUAGGGGCUCCAGGAGGGCAGAGACCACGCACCACUAAACAGUACCCAGUACUCGAGGUGUGCAGAACACAUGCAUGCUCCAUGCCUGAAUGACUAGCUGUGCUGAGGAUUCCUGCUCGCUUGACCCAAUCACCGAAACAGGUGUACCCUCAGAGCUGAGGGCAGGGAAGGAGGGAGUGUGGAGGUGGCAGAAGUGCUGAGUCAUAGGUGAGUCACGGCUGAGUCACAGCUGAGUCACGGCUGAGUCAUGGCUGAGUCACAGCUGAGUCAUAGGUGAGACACGGCUGAGUCAUGGCUGAGUCAUAGGUGAGUCACAGCUGAGUCAUGGCUGAGUCAUAACUGAGUCAUGGCUGAGUCAUAGGAGAGUCAUAGGUGAGUCACAGCUGAGUCACGGCUGAGUCAUGGCUGAGUCACAGCUGAGCCACGGCUGAGUCAUAGCUGAGUUAUGGCUGAGUCAUGGCUGAGUUAUGGCUGAAUCAUAGCUGAG